rnacentral:rRNA from 1 species
CAGGCCUAACACAUGCAAGUCGAACGGUGAUGCGGAGCUUGCUCCGCGGAUCAGUGGCGAACGGGUGAGUAACACGUGAGUAACCUGCCCUUGACUCUGGGAUAAGCGUUGGAAACGACGUCUAAUACCGGAUAGGACCCCUUCAGGCAUCUGUGGGGGUGGAAAGAUUUUUCGGUCAUGGAUGGACUCGCGGCCUAUCAGCUUGUUGGUGGGGUGAUGGCCUACCAAGGCGACGACGGGUAGCCGGCCUGAGAGGGUGACCGGCCACACUGGGACUGAGACACGGCCCAGACGCCUACGGGAGGCAGCAGUGGGGAAGAUUGCACAAUGGGCGAAAGCCUGAUGCAGCAACGCCGCGUGAGGGAUGACGGCCUUCGGGUUGGAAACCGAUUUGAGCAGGGAAGAAGCGAGAGUGACGGGACCUGCAGAAAAAGCACCGGCGAACGACGUGCCAGCAGCCGCG